AUGGCUCAGAUUGAACGCUGGCGGCAGGCCUAACACAUGCAAGUCGAGCGGAUGACGGGAGCUUGCUCCUUGAUUCAGCGGCGGACGGGUGAGUAAUGCCUAGGAAUCUGCCUGGUAGUGGGGGACAACGUUUCGAAAGGAACGCUAAUACCGCAUACGUCCUACGGGAGAAAGCAGGGGACCUUCGGGCCUUGCGCUAUCAGAUGAGCCUAGGUCGGAUUAGCUAGUUGGUGGGGUAAUGGCUCACCAAGGCGACGAUCCGUAACUGGUCUGAGAGGAUGAUCAGUCACACUGGAACUGAGACACGGUCCAGACUCCUACGGGAGGCAGCAGUGGGGAAUAUUGGACAAUGGGCGAAAGCCUGAUCCAGCCAUGCCGCGUGUGUGAAGAAGGUCUUCGGAUUGUAAAGCACUUUAAGUUGGGAGGAAGGGCAGUAAGYUAAUACCUUGCUGUUUUGACGUUACCGACAGAAUAAGCACCGGCUAACUCUGUGCCAGCAGCCGCGGUAAUACAGAGGGUGCAAGCGUUAAUCGGAAUUACUGGGCGUAAAGCGCGCGUAGGUGGUUUGUUAAGUUGGAUGUGAAAGCCCCGGGCUCAACCUGGGAACUGCAUCCAAAACUGGCAAGCUAGAGUACGGUAGAGGGUGGUGGAAUUUCCUGUGUAGCGGUGAAAUGCGUAGAUAUAGGAAGGAACACCAGUGGCGAAGGCGACCACCUGGACUGAU
rnacentral:rRNA from 1 species